UUUCCGGUUGAUCCCGCCGGACCUGACUGCUAUCGGAUUGAUACUAAGCCAUGCGAGUCUUUGCAGUAAUGCAAGGCAUACGGCUCAGUAACACGUAGUCAACUUACCCUAUGGACGAGGAUAAUCUCGGGAAACUGAGCAUAAUACUCGAUAGAUCAUAAUGCCUGGAAUGGUUUAUGGUUGAAAUGAUUCGUCGCCAUAGGAUGGGACUGCGGCCUAUCAGCUUGUUGGUGAGGUAAUGGCCCACCAAGGCGAUUACAGGUACGGGCUCUGAGAGGAGAAGCCCGGAGAUGGGUACUGAGACAAGGACCCAGGCCCUAUGGGGCGCAGCAGGCGAGAAAACUUUGCAAUGUGCGAAAGCACGACAAGGUUAAUCCGAGUGAUUUCUGCUAAAGAAAUCUUUUGCAAGUCAUAAAACCACUAGUGAAUAAGGGGUGGGCAAGUUCUGGUGUCAGCCGCCGCGGUAAAACCAGCACCUCAAGUGGUCAGGAGGAUUAUUGGGCCUAAAGCAUCCGUAGCCGGCUCUGUAAGUUUUCGGUUAAAUCCAUGUGCUCAACGCAUGGGCUGCCGAAAAUACUGCAUAGCUAGGGAGUGGGAGAGGUAGACGGUACUCGGUAGGAAGGGGUAAAAUCCUUUGAUCUAUCGAUGACCACCUGUGGCGAAGGCGGUCUACCAGAACACGUUCGACGGUGAGGGAUGAAAGCUGGGGGAGCAAACCGGAUUAGAUACCCGGGUAGUCCCAGCUGUAAACGAUGCAGACUCGAUGAUACAUUGGCAUAUAGCCAGUGCAGUGUCGCAGGGAAGCCGUUAAGUCUGCCGCCUGGGAAGUACGUACGCAAGUAUGAAACUUAAAGGAAUUGGCGGGGGAGCACCACAAGGGGUGAAGCCUGCGGUUCAAUUGGAGUCAACGCCGGGA
rnacentral:rRNA from 1 species